AACGAACGCUGGCGGCAGGCCUAACACAUGCAAGUCGAGCGCUCACUUCGGUGGGAGCGGCGGACGGGUUAGUAACGCGUAGGAAUCUACCUGGUAGUGGGGGACAACUCGGGGAAACUCGAGCUAAUACCGCAUACGCCCUACGGGGGAAAGCGGGGGACCUUCGGGCCUCGCGCUAUCAGAUGAGCCUGCGUUGGAUUAGCUAGUUGGUGGGGUAAUGGCCUACCAAGGCAACGAUCCAUAGCUGGUCUGAGAGGAUGAUCAGCCACACCGGGACUGAGACACGGCCCGGACUCCUACGGGAGGCAGCAGUGGGGAAUAUUGCGCAAUGGGCGAAAGCCUGACGCAGCCAUGCCGCGUGUGUGAAGAAGGCCUUCGGGUUGUAAAGCACUUUCGAAUUGGGAGGAAAGGUUCACGGCUAAUACCCGUGAGCCGUGACGUUACCUUUAGAAGAAGCACCGGCUAACUCCGUGCCGGCG
rnacentral:rRNA from 1 species